AGAACGAACGCUGGCGGCAGGCUUAACACAUGCAAGUCGAACGCGUGUAGCAAUACACGAGUGGCGCACGGGUGAGUAACGCGUGGAUAUCUGCCUUUUGGUUCGGAAUAACCCCGGGAAACUGGGGCUAAUACCGGAUGGUUCCUACGGGAUAAAGAUUUAUCGCCAAAAGAUGAGUCCGCGUACGAUUAGCUAGUUGGUGAGGUAAUGGCUCACCAAGGCGACGAUCGUUAGCUGGUCUGAGAGGACGAUCAGCCGCACUGGGACUGAGACACGGCCCAGACUCCUACGGGAGGCAGCAGUGGGGAAUAUUGGACAAUGGGGGCAACCCUGAUCCAGCCAUGCCGCGUGAGUGAUGAAGGCCUUCGGGUUGUAAAGCUCUUUUGGCGGGGACGAUGAUGGCGGUACCCGCAGAAUAAGCCCCGGCUAACUUCGUGCCAGCAGCCGC
rnacentral:rRNA from 1 species